CAUUGGUUCACAUAAUCCAGAUGGAGAGAAGCUUCGGUAUCACAUUUCUCCCUAUGGACUUCCAAAUCGCCUUUGGAGUUCACUUUGAUCCAAUUCCUAUGAAGGUGGAAAGCUUUUGCCACGUUGGACAGUUACCCAUUCUCCUGAUUGCUGCCAUGCCCCACUGGCCGCUUGCAGUGAGUAGCAGCUUUGGCACAGAGAGCUCAGGGAGGAGCCCAAGUGAAAGCAGCUGUUAGGAGACUAAGAGUGAAAGAUUUCUCCUGGCUGCUGCAGUGGCUCCUUGUUGCAGUUGGCUGGGUAACACUAGAAUUCAAUGGGAUUCCCUCCACCCCCUUCCUCUGGCCAGGGCUUCCCUUCUUACUCCACUUUGAAGUGGAGACAGAUUUUCAGGAAAGCUGCCGUCCAAGUGACCAAAGUUCCCCCAAAUCCCUCCAAUCCAGAGGUGUUCUCUCCUUCUGUGCCACUUAGAAUCUUCUCCUGGAGGUCUGAAAUACAAGGCUGGAGCUUCAAUGGGACUUGAGAAUAUCAGCUGGCAACUAAGUGGGUGACAGAGCCUCUCAAGCACACUUGUCUCGGGAAGAUGGCUUCGGUCAGGUCCUCUGAUCCUGGCCCUGCCACUCACCUUAUCAAAGAGUUCCCUUAAAAAGGAGAGGAUGAAAUGAAUGUCCCCUCUAACCUGUCAUCUCUGUGAACUAGCUUUGCUUCUUUCUGUAAUGUCUUUCUUUAGAAGGACAAACACUGAGGCUGAAGCUUAAAUCCUUUGGCCACAUAAUGAGAAGACAGGACUCACUGGAAAAGACCCUGAUGUUGAGAAAGAUUGAAGGCCAAAGGAAAAGGGGCCGGCAGGGGAUGAGCUGGAUAGAGAGCAUCUGGAAACAACAAACGUGAGUGUGGACAGACUUCGGGAGCCAGCGGAGGACAGAAGGGCCUGGCAUGCUGGAGUUCAGGGGUCACUGAACAACAACAGUGUCUCAUGGCCAAAUCUCCAAAGGUACAUUCAGGCUACUGGAACCCACAAGAAUAAUGAGACUCCAUGACCUCCGCACCCCAUGGCCAUUCCCAAGACUGUGUGACUUUCUUUCCCCUGCUCUGCUACCAUGAGAAUGGUGACUUGGAAUGUCGAUCAGAUAUGGAACUUCCUGAAACAAACACUGAUGUCAUCUGGAAUUGCUACAACAUCACAGAGUCAACUCUAUAAAUGUGCACAGAAUGUAACAGGGUCAAAAGAAAUGGAAGGAGAGGGAAGGAGGAGAAAAGGAAAUAAGCAUUGAUUAAGAACCUAUUAUGUGCCAGGCACUGUGAUAAACACUUUACAAGUAUUAUCUCAUUAGAUCUUCAAAUAAACCCGUAAGGCAAGUGCUACUAUCAUCCUCAUUUUGGAAUGAGGAAACUGAGGCAGACAGAGGUUCUGUGAUUGUUCAGGGUCACAAAGCUAAGGAGACUAAUGGUGGCAUCGAUUUACAGAGGCAGAGAAUAAUGAAUGUCCCAGACGAAAAGGGGACAAACAAGAGUGAACAACAGAGCAAAAGAAGGAUGAAUGGAGAAAGAGGGAAAGUGAGAGAAGGAUGGGAUAGGUUUUGAGGUAGAGACAGAUUCCUGGCUAUAAAUUCUUGUACACUGAGGUAGGUUUCAAAGGAGAAGCCUUAGCAGUGAAGCACGAACAGCUCAGGAAACAGAGAAAGCCAGGAAAGUAUGAAAGUGGAGAUGGUGGAAUUUAGAUAAACGAUGUGCAGAACAAACCAGUGAGUAAGAGACACCUGAGUAGACAUAAGUAGAAGUGAUAUUUGGAUACCCAAGAAGACCACCUGAGUGAGAGAUGAGUGGGUUAAUUAUUGUACCAAGGGGAAGUUGUAUGCAUGAUGAAAGCUAUCACUUGAGUGGUGGAUGAAUGAGUAUACCUAGGCAGUGAGAGAAUGAAUGAAGAGAAACAGGAAGAAAAGAAUGGACUGAGACAGGCAAAAAGGGAAAGGGUGAAAGGGGGUGAUGCACAGGCAAGAAAAAAGGAGAAAAGCAAACUCUGAUGUAUGAAGGUAUGACAUGUGAAAUUGUAUUGGCAAGAUGCAACAGGAGAACUCACAGAGAGGAAGGAAGGAAUUCAUGCUGAGGCCUCAAACGGAAGAGAUGGAUGAAUGUAGGCACUUCAGCAUUGUGAAAUGAACGGUUGUAUAGAUGUAGACAGGGAGAGCUAAAUCCGGGUUUAGAACUCAAAAGCAAAGAAUGAAUGAGAGAGAAACAGACAAUAAGAAAUGGAUGAAUGGAGAAAGGAGGGGAAAAGAGAGACUGAUGGUAAAUUUGACCAAGAGAGUGAGAGACAUAUGGAGAGAACGUUAGAUUCAUGGCUAGAAACACCUGCACAUUCAGGUAUGCAUGAAAAAAGCAACUUUAGGAAUGAAGGAUGGACAGCUGAGAAAACAUGAGAUAACCAGGAAAGAGUAAGGAGAGAUGUUGAGAAUCAGAUCUGUAAUAUUUCUAGUGAACCACUGAGUGCGAUAUAAGUGAAUCAAGAUGAGCACAGGUGAUACUUAGCUGUUUAGAAAGACCAACUGAGUGAGACAUGGAGGGGCGAGCUCAUGUUCUGAGUGGGAACAGCAUGCAGAGAGAAAGCUAAUCUCAGAAUGCUGGAUGAAUAGGUAUCAAUAGAAGGUGAUAAAUGAAGGAAUGAAGAGAAACACAGAGAGAAGAACAGAUUGAGAAGGGAAAAGGGUGAGUAUGGGUGAUACACAGGCACAAAAAAGGGUGGAAGGAGAUCCAAAAGCUGAUAGGUGAAUUGAGAGUCAAAGCCAGAGAGGAAGAAAUGGAUGAAUAAUGAGAAGUGUACAAUGUGAAGUGUCUGAAUUGAGAAGAAGCAAGGAAGCGAAGAAUGACUGGGGAGAGGCAGCCAAAGAGGAAUGUGGGUCAGGCUGUUUCAAAGUUUCAGAGUGGGAGAAAUUAUUGCAGGUUAAGGCCUAAAGAGUGAGAGACUGUAUGAAUGGAGAUACUUCAGCAUCGUGAGAAAAAUGAUUGUAUAGAUCUAGAGGGGAAGAGAUGAACCUAGGUUUAGAACAUAAAGGUAAAGAACAAGUGUAAGAAAGACCUAAAGAGGAAGAGAUGGAUGAAUGGAGAAAGUGGCAAAUGAGAGAUGGCUGGAAAGAGACCAAGAGUGUAAAAGGUGUAAGGAAAGAGAACCACAUUGCAUGAGAGUGCUGCAUGUGUGACAUGGAAUGUGUGAAAGCAGAAGCCUUAGCAGCGAAGGAUGAAUGGAUACCUGAGAAUGUAGCAAAAGCCCCGAAAGGAUGGAAGGGAAAUGCUGAGAAUUAAGUAUGCAAUAUUUCUAGUGAUCCAGUGAGGGAGAUAAAUAUAAGUGAUGUUUGGCUGCUUAGAAAGACCAUCUGUAUGAGGGAUGAAUGGGUGAACUAAUGGAGAGAGUAGGAGCUAUAUGCAGAGAGAAAGCUAAUCUCUGAGUGAUGGAGGAGUAGAAAGACUUAGACUGUGAGAGAUUUAUUAAUGUAGAAACUUCAGCACUGGGACACCAAUGGGAGGCUCCUCCUCAAGCUCUCUGCCACCAGCUACAUUGCCUGGGCCUCUGCCCCCUAGCCAUGUGCCACCAUCAUGGUGAAGUUUGGGAAGGCUGCUAAAAAUCAAAGAAGAAAGAAGACAAUCAGUAUGGGGACAUGGCAAAAGAUGAAAAAAAGCAGUGGAGAAGAGCUUGUGAUCCUUCAGAAGAAGGGAAAGAGGCUGUGGCUACACCAGCAAAGAAGGUAGCACCAGCCAAAAAAAGCUAUCAUUGCCACCACACCAGCCAAGAAAGUGGCUACCCCAGCCAAAGCUGGCAUCACACCGGGCAAGAAAGGAGCCACUCCAGCUAACGCAGCAGCCAUCCUAGCAAAGGCAAGAGCCACUCCGACCCCCGCCCACCCCUGAUGAAAAGGGCAAAAAAAUGGAAGGAAUGCCAAGAAAGAAGACACUGAAUCUGAAGAAGAGGAUGGUGAAGAUGAAGAGGACAAAGAAUGUGAGCCACCCAAAGCCUCCAAAAUGGGACUGGCUCCAGCCAAACACACAUCUGAGGAUGAAGAGGAAGAUGAUAGUAAUGAGGCUGAAGAAGACGCUAUGGGGGUCACACUGGGAAAGCUGGGAGCAUCAAAGAAUCAGAGGAAGAGGAGGAGGAGGACAACUACGACGACAAAGUGCCUGUCAAAGAAGCGCCAGGAAAGAGGAAAAGGAAAAGGACAGGCAGAAACCUCCCAAAGCCAAGAGACAGAGAUUGGAAGCUGAAGUGUCUACUAAUUUCAAUCUCUUUGCUCGUAACCUGAACUUCAACAAAACCACUUUGGAGCUAAAACUGGCAUCACGGAUAUCUUUGCAAAAAAGGAGCUCACCAUCGGUACCACCAAGAAAUUUGGCUAUGUGAAAUUCAAAUCCACUGAAGACACAGAAAAGGCUCUGGAACUCAGUGGCUCCAAGUGCUAAGCUCUGAAAUGAAGGUAGAAAAAGCAAAAGACAACAAGAAAGAUUGUGACACAAGGACACUCUUUGUCAAGAAUCUGCCAUAUAAAAGAACUCCAGGAAGUCUUUGAAGAUUCUGCUAAAGUCACACUUGUAUGCACCAAGGAUGGGACAUCCCCAAAACUGCCUAUUUAAGAUAGAAUUUGAGUCAAAAGCAGACAUGGACAAGGCCUUAGAAGAGAAACAAGGAACUGAGAUUGACAGUCAAGUGCUUAUUCUGGAAUACAAAGGGAAGAAAAGUCAAGGACAAGAGAACUCAAGAGGUGUGGGGAGAAAAAUUCCUGAAGAAGGAAUAAGCGCUGCAUGGGAGACUGAAAGAAAAUGGUGAUGAAUAGCCCCACCAUGAGCUCAGCUGAAGAAAGUCCACAGGAAGCGUUCCUCAGCUUGCCCCAGAAAAACCAAGGAGGACCCAAAAGGCACACAUUCAUUGAAUUUGCCUCUGUGGAAGAUGUGAAAGGAGCUUUGAAUUCCUGGAACAACAGAGUAACUGAAGGCAGAGCUAUCAGCUGGAACUAAAGGAAAACAAGACAGUUAACACACCACCAAGGAGACAUUCCAACAAAAUCUUGUUCUUCAAAGGACUGUAUGAAGACAAGACAGAAGAAAAUAUGAAUGAUUCAUUUCACAGCUCUGUGGCUGCCAGGAUAGUCACAGAGAGGAGGAUAGGGUCAACUAAAGGGUUAAAUUUUAUGGACAUCAACUCAAAACAAGAACCUAAAUUUGCAACAGAGUGCAUGGAAGACAGGGAGAUCGAUGGACACAACGUAACUAGGCCAAGACUGGUGGUUUUGGAGGACAAAGGGGCCAUCAUGGGAUGGCUGAGUGAGUGGUGGCACUUUCAGGAACUGUCAAGCCACAAAAAGUAAGGGGCUCUGACAUCUGGUCAGAAGGGGAAUACAAGCAAACCUUAGUUGGCACCGGGAUUAGGACUUGACUGCCCAUACAGAAUUCAAGGGCACAAUGACAUAGCAACGAGGAAAAUUAGCAGAAGCGGGGAGCCUGGGCACAGUUACAAGGCAGAAAAUAGGGCUUGUGGUGGAUCAGAUAACAGGGGACAGGCCAGGAGAACAUGGAGCACACCUCUGCUUAGAUCAUACCUCUCUGGAGAAACAAAACAACUUACAGAUCACUCGAGGUACCUCGAAAACAAAAGUACAAAUAUGUGAAACAUGGAACAUUAUCUAAAUGGGGAGAAGAGGCCAACUGGACAUAACACUGGAGUCAAGAAAUAAGUCACAAAACUUAUGAAGAAGGAAAAAACUUCUCCAUAGAGACAAUGAAACUAGGAACACAACUUUGAAGAACACACCAAACAAUAUAAUAAGAAUGCAAAUCCGCACAGAAGAGAUUGAGGUGGCCUCACACUUAGGAAAACAUAUUGAAAAAAUCAAAAAUUGAGAAGUAUGCGAAAAAUUAAGAAAGGAAA